GCCCCACCCCCGCCGAUGGGCUGGCCCGGCUCUCCCUGCCGAGGAAUGGGCCGGCCCGGCGGCGCGCGGGCAGCGGCGGCCCAAGAUGGCGGAGCUGCAGCUGGACCCGGCAAUGGCGGGGCUGGGAGGGGGUGGCGGGAGUGUGGUGGGCGAUGGGGGCGGCUCGGGCCGCGGACCCCCCAGUCCUCGCCCUGCGGGCCCUGCACCCCGCGGACACGGCCGCCAGCCCGCCGCCGCCGCCCAGCCACUGGAGCCCGGACCCGGACCUCCGGAGCGGACGGGGGGCGGCGGGGCGGCCCGCUGGGUCCGGCUCAACGUGGGCGGUACCUACUUCGUGACCACCAGACAGACCCUGGGCCGGGAGCCCAAGUCCUUCCUCUGCCGCCUGUGCUGCCAGGAGGACCCGGAGCUGGACUCGGACAAGGACGAGACUGGAGCGUAUCUGAUCGACAGAGACCCUACCUACUUUGGUCCUAUCCUAAACUACCUCCGCCAUGGAAAACUCAUCAUUACCAAGGAGUUGGCAGAAGAAGGUGUGCUGGAGGAAGCAGAGUUUUACAAUAUCGCAUCUCUCGUGCGGCUGGUUAAGGAAAGGAUACGAGACAAUGAGAACAGAACUUCACAAGGUCCCGUGAAGCACGUGUACAGGGUCCUGCAGUGUCAAGAGGAAGAGCUCACGCAGAUGGUCUCCACCAUGUCUGAUGGCUGGAAAUUUGAACAGUUAAUCAGCAUUGGCUCCUCCUAUAACUAUGGAAAUGAAGACCAGGCAGAAUUCCUCUGCGUUGUCUCCAGAGAACUAAAUAACUCUACCAAUGGCAUCGUCAUAGAGCCAAGCGAAAAGGCCAAGCGCCCUGCAGACACACACUACACACUUGGGAAGAACCUGUGUGCUGACUGUGACUGACAGCACAGAACCUUCUGGUCCGUCUGUAUUUGGCAAGAGAGCCCAUUGCACUCAGAUUCUUCAGGAGAGAGGCUCUCGAAUGUAAGCAGAGAAUCUGAAGUUUCAGAACCCUGAGGGCAAGAGAGCUAUGGGCCAAGCAGCUGCGAAGGGAGACCCUGCACCUGUACAAUAACCGAGCUACUGCAAAGCCAAGCUGCGCCUGGGCCCGAGAAGUGGUGUCCGGCCAAACCAGAGGAGCCCCACCGCCUGGACGAAGACAGUGCGCCCGCCUCUGGCUGCACGGCCCCUUUGCAGAAGCCUGCUUUUGUUUGCUAGCCAGUGUUAGAACAGACCUUCACAGCAGCAUCUGGGAUGGGUCCCUGGCUGGAGCCUUGUGGGGAGUGGAGGGAAAGGAGGAAGGUCUAGCUUCCUGGAACGGUCUAGACGCUGAAAGCCGGAGCCGAGGAAGAAGGCUCGUCCUGAGCUGUGCCUGGUCUCAGCCUGCAUGCCAUGGUGGACAUUAGCUACGUGGCCCGUUCCUCCCUGACAUAGGCAUUCUUGGAGGUCGGCAGGGGUUCCAUGUUAGUGUGUGGAUCGAAGGUUUGGGUACAGAAUAAAGUUGCCAAAGGACCCACAAUCCUAUGAGCAGAGCCUCAGAGGCGGGAGGAUAGGGUCCUGCAUUGUGGUUGGAGCGCGGUUGUUGCUGUCCCUGCUCCCAUGAGUGGCAUCACCGGUGUCUCAGCCGGUGGGCCCUCAUAGCCCAUCCUCACCCAGGAGGCUUGAGGCUGCGGCCUCCUAAGCUGUGCUAGAUGGACAGCUAGCGGUACUGAGCAGUUUGUGUGACUGCUUCUGUGGACUUUCCUUACCUGGUUGACCCUGGCUUCCUCCCCGAGCUUCUUGAACUGGACCAAAGAGAACGGACUUUGUGGACCCUCUGUAAUGGCUUGGGGGGAGGAGGCUGUCCCUGUGGACGCUGCCAAAUGUGUCAUGUCGUCGUAGCUAAAAGUGGUGGUGUUUUAGUGAUUGUCUCUUGAACAUGCACUGAUAGGUGA